rnacentral:rRNA from 1 species
AUUGAACGCUGGCGGCAUGCCUUACACAUGCAAGUCGAACGGUAACAGGUCUUCGGAUGCUGACGAGUGGCGAACGGGUGAGUAAUACAUCGGAACGUGCCUAGUAGUGGGGGAUAACUACUCGAAAGAGUGGCUAAUACCGCAUGAGAUCUACGGAUGAAAGCAGGGGAUCGCAAGACCUUGUGCUACUAGAGCGGCCGAUGGCAGAUUAGGUAGUUGGUGGGAUAAAAGCUUACCAAGCCGACGAUCUGUAGCUGGUCUGAGAGGACGAUCAGCCACACUGGGACUGAGACACGGCCCAGACUCCUACGGGAGGCAGCAGUGGGGAAUUUUGGACAAUGGGCGAAAGCCUGAUCCAGCAAUGCGGCGUGCAGGAUGAAGGCCUUCGGGUUGUAAACUGCUUUUGUACGGAACGAAAAGCCCUGGGUUAAUACCCUGGGGUCAUGACGGUACCGUAAGAAUAAGCACCGGCUAACUACGUGCCAGCAGCCGCCGCGGUAA